UAAGGCGAUAAGAAUCAGGUGUUCUUCU
rnacentral:sRNA from 1 species